rnacentral:rRNA from 1 species
AGUGAACGCUGGCGGUAGGCCUAACACAUGCAAGUCGAACGGCAGCACAGGAGAGCUUGCUCUCUGGGUGGCGAGUGGCGGACGGGUGAGGAAUACAUCGGAAUCUACUUUUUCGUGGGGGAUAACGUAGGGAAACUUACGCUAAUACCGCAUACGACCUACGGGUGAAAGCAGGGGAUCUUCGGACCUUGCGCGAUUGAAUGAGCCGAUGUCGGAUUAGCUAGUUGGCGGGGUAAAGGCCCACCAAGGCGACGAUCCGUAGCUGGUCUGAGAGGAGGAUCAGCCACACUGGAACGGGGACACGGGCCAGACUCCUACGGGAGGCAGCAGUGGGGAAUAUUGGACAAUGGGCGCAAGCCUGAUCCAGCCAUACCGCGUGGGUGAAGAAGGCCUUCGGGUUGUAAAGCCCUUUUGUUAGGAAAGAAAUCCAGCUGGUUAAUACCCGGUUGGGAUGACGGUACCCAAAGAAUAAGCACCGGCUAACUUCGUGCCAGCAGCCGCCGCAG